UACGGAGGGGGCUAGCGUUGUUCGGAAUUACUGGGCGUAAAGCGCACGUAGGCGGCUUUGUAAGUUAGAGGUGAAAGCCCAGGGCUUAACCCUGGAAUUGCCUUUAAGACUGCAUCGCUCGAAUUGUGGAGAGGUGAGUGGAAUUCCGAGUGUAGAGGUGAAAUUCGUAGAUAUUCGGAAGAACACCAGUGGCGAAGGCGACUCACUGGACACAUAUUGACGCUGAGGUGCGAAAGCGUGGGGAGCAAACUGG
rnacentral:rRNA from 1 species